CCUAAAGUUCUCCGGAAGGAAAAAACAACCUGGCAAUAUCCAGAGUUGCCUUAAUGUUGUGGUGGAAUGAAGUACUCCAUUCUUAACCAAACAUCUCGAAUUCGAGUCCCCUUGGGUACCCAAGGGUUCCUUUGUUAGAGAGCGUAUUGUGAGACUUUCUAGCCCGAAUUCGGAUUUAGUUUGGCUUGCCAAUCAAAGCAUGUACAAUGCAAUAUUAAAUAGUACUAUAUGUUUACAUUGCCUUUUUAUGAGUUAAAUCUGUCACUGGGUAGAUCUAUGAGUUGCACCUUAAUGAUUCUGAUAUAUAUAUACACAAGUAAAUCUUUGCCGAGUGACAAAGAUCUUAAGCAAUCAGUAUCCAGUCAUCCCUCCUUUUGUCGAAAAAAAGAAGUAGAUCCUACUCCCUAGUAGUAUGUAAGCACGAACCUGCAAAGUCUGCAUCAAAUCAGUUUUGACAAAGAUGCAUCUUUCAAGAGGACUGUUUGGUACGCGUGAGGUCGCGAAUUUCUGCAAUUGCAUUGUUCAUCCCACAAAUAACCAUUUUCUUCACCUGCUGGUCAAAUUAUAACAGUUAGAUAGCAUAAACGAAAAUGAACAUGACAUCUAUUUUGGACUAAUAGACAUUGUCAUAAAUUAAAGAACUUGAUGAAGGAGCAUUUUCUUUUCAGAAGGACUAAUAGACAUGCUUUUCCGCUACCAAAUAUGAAUGAUAACAGAAGUCUAGACAAGCAUAAUACCUACUCUCAGAAUUAAGUUUUUUGUAAAUUCAUCAAACGAUGACAUGCUUAGAUUUCUAUAUUAUAGCAGUGUGAACCUAAUUCUAGCAACUAAAAGGAGCGUUGUGAAACUUGCCUCCAGCAUUUUUCCCCUGGCUUUGUGGUGCUCAGGAAGUAGACGAAUUUCAUCAGUUACGUUGAUACAUUCAGCAACAUUUUCAGGCGAGAUGAAGUGCAGAACAACGUUGAUGCAUGACUGCGGUCAGUGAAUAGAAUCUUUUGUUAGUUAUUAUGCACUAAAAGAAAUAAAGUCCCAUACUGUUAUAUCUGAGACUAGAAUCGCGUCAGUAUAUAAUAUGAACAAAAGAAAACAAUGUUAGGCUGGUUUAAGGCUUCUUAAGACAUAGAAGAGCUAAUGAAACUAUGGAACAGUUCACA
rnacentral:lncRNA from 1 species